ACGUCCGCCGGUGGACGAAAACAAGCGUUUUACGCCCCAAAACAGUCCCGUUUCUGGAUGAAUUCCGCUCAAGAGACUGUCGACGGCUACCUCGCUGUGAUAAGAGAGAACAGACAGAUGGUUCUAAAUACUGUAACUGGAUUAUCCCUGGUAAUCCUGUGUAAACGACUCCAGGUCAUUCCACUGCCACUUACCUGUCUGUCACCAGCUUCAUCUCCUGCAGUGGGAUCAGCUUUUCUGUCCUUAGAAGUUGUGUUCACCUGUGUGCACCAGCAGAUGGACUGGACCUGACUGAAGAACCAAAGAAUGGUACUGCGUACUGUGACCUGGAUCUGACUGGAGACUAUUGUCCCAGGUGGCAUGGGACCUAGUUGAUAUAAAUACCAGCCAAUCAAAAAUUCCUUUCAUUGAAUGGGGCUAAGAGAAGAAGGAGGUGAAGUAAAUUACAUUUUUUGUGCGAGAGGUGCGGGUUGGUUUCUGGAGUGAAGAAAUGGAAAUAAUCCGCCAAUCAUACUUAUCAUCUACAGUAAAAGGAUUGCGGAUAUUUGAGGAGAAACAUCUGUUUCCAAAUCUGCUUCUCUAGUGGGUCGAACUUAUUGAAAAGCGUCCUGAGCAAACCGUUGGCUGAAAGCUAUAUUUGCAGACUGGAACACAUUGUAUUUGAAGACACCUCCGGUUUUGUGGAUCUUUGUGUCUUUCAGUCCAACGGUACACAAACAGUCCUUUCAAAGCUUUGCUUUCAUGCUUUGAUGGUCUAUUUCUGUGAAUCCUCACUGUUCAAACCACCUUUUGUCUACCUCUCCCUUGGCUUGUUAUUUUUAGAUACAGGUUUUUUUUUUAAUGAGAUCAAAUGUGCUAUCUUGGUUUUGUCGUGUUUAUUCUGCUGGUCCAUUUCUAAUAUUAGACUUUUAUCUGGCGCCACAGCCAUAGUAUUAAUGUUUUACCGCUGCAGAUGCAAACACUUGACACAUCUUUUAAGGCUUGAAAUAUAUAUAUAUAAUAUACAAAUACAUUUUUAAAACAGACUCUCCUCAUGGUCUGCAAUGGAGUUUUGUUUAUAUUCACUUUUAUGCGUUGUCGUGCAUCACUGAUGACCAGGCCAUGAGAACAUCAUAGGUGCAGCUUUUCAGAGACACAACAACAACAACAACAACAACAACAACAAAAACUCAGACACAGCUAGAGAUGGAGGUACUGAAACACAACAUGGGCUUGUGGGAAAUUGAGCAGUGAUGUAGUCGGGCUGUGAAGUAGGGCUGUG